rnacentral:lncRNA from 1 species
AUGGUGAUUAUGGAGGUUCUAAAGCCCUCCCUAACUCCCUCAACUCCAUGGGUGCGUCCACUUGGGUUCUGGGGAUGGGACUGCCGCUUGUGGGAGACCAUGAGUCAUGGGACCUGGGAGAGGUGUGGCAAGCAGUUGUGGGCACCUCUGAAACAUCCCUUCUUCCUAGACAUGGCUGCUGUCCAAGGGACGGGGACUCCAAGGAGCAACCGUGGGAAGGCAAGGAGGCCAGGAUUGCCAGCUGGAAGAUUUCUAGAGGAGAUGCCUCAUCUUCAGAGGUCUAAGGAGGAUCAGGCAUGGGCCAGCUUCUCCCUAGGAAGCUACUCCCAUCCAUUAUGCUGCCUGAGCACCAAAGUGCUACUUACCCAGAAUCGAGACAUGAUUUAAAACCCGCACCGUCUGUUUUGGGCAGAUACAAAUGAAUGACAAAUGAAUCUGUCAUUUGGGCAGGGCUUGAUGGGGUCAGGGCUCUACGUGGCACGGGUGGAGCUGGCCUGAAGACUGGGGGCUGGCAUCCCCUGGGGCUGCUUUACCUGUCCAGCAGUGGAGGCUGGUCGUCGGCUGAACCCCUACACGUGAGCUCUGCCCGCUGCUGCCUGGCUUCCUCCCAGCACCGCGGCGCAGCCCUUCAUCGGCCAUGAGACGUGCAAAUUAAAACCACAGUGAGAUAGCGCUACGCCCCUCCUAGGACGUCUAAACAAAAAAGACUGACCGUACCCAGUGUUGUCAAGGAUGCUCUCCUCUGUUUUGGAAACGGGCUGGGCAGUUUCUCCAGAAGUGAAACGUCCGCUUGCCAUAUGACCCAGCCAUGCAGCUCCGAGGUAAGCAUCCCAGAGAAAGGAAGACAACGCGUGUUCAUAGCAGCUUUAUCUGCCCUAGCCAGAAAUGUCCAUCAACAGGUGAACAGAUAAGUAAUUUAUGGUACACAGUGAAACACAAUUCAGCAAUAAAAAUUAACUGUUGAUACAUGCAACAAUGUGGGCAGCUCUCCAAGCUCUCAGGCUGAGUGAAAGAAGCCAGACAAAAAAAGGUGCACCUACAGGGCACCUGGGUGGCUCAGUCGGUUAAGCAUCCGCCUUCGGCUCAGAUUGUGAUCCCAGAGUCCUGGGAUUGAGCCCCAUGUCAGGCUGUCUGCUCAGUGGGGAGUCUGCUUCUCCCUCUCCCUCUGCUCCUCCCCCUACUUGUGCUUUCUCUCUCUCUCUCUCAAAUAAAUAGGUAAAAUCUUGUUUUUUUUUUUUUUUCAAGUGCAUGUAGAGUAUAAAAGCCUAGAAAAUGCAAACUUAACCUGUGAUGACAGAAAGCACAUCAAAGGUUGCCUGGAGAUGCUAGGCAUGGGGUGGAGGGAGGGAUGACAGAGGAACACGAGCAAACUUGUAGCUUGAUGGAUACAAUAUCUUGAUAGUGGUGCUGGUUUUACAGGCGUAUACAUGUCAAAAUUUGCCAAGUUGUACACUUUAGAUGGGUGGUGUUUACUGGGUGUCAAUCACAUCUCAACUUACAAAAUGAAUACUAAGGUGGAAAAAGGAAGGGUGCUUGGGGUGAGAGGAAUCAUGGCGGUCAUCUUGGGAAACACAACCUACCUCAUUCACCAGGUGUUUCCAACGUGUCAGGCACUGUGUGUGCUAAGUGCUUAACAACACUGGUACUAAGUCCACCCAACAACCCAACCCGAAGGGAAGAUGAGGAGGUGGCCAACUAUUUAUUGUUAUUAUUAUCUUGAUGUUAUCAGAGAGCCAUGGGGUCUUGGUCUCUGGGAGAGGAGCAUGUCUCAGGGCUCUGAUGAGCAGGACAUCAGGGUUUUUCUCCCUGAGCUGCAGGAGAAGCUGCUUUCCACUUCUUGGGACAGGUCAGGAAGCAGAGGCGCCCUUUAGAAAGCAGUGAGGUGGAAGCUUGGUGGGCAGGUGUCAGGACCUGGCUGCCCAACUGAGAAGCAGGAAGGGACCUGCGGAGGGGCCUCUCUCAAGCAAGAGUGGUCCCUUCCUUCUUGUGUUAGUUGGGUCCCUUUGGACAGGUAGAUGCCUGCCCAGGACCCCCUGGUAAUUGUAUCCAGCUCUCCCCUGGGAACCACCAUGUUAUGACUUGAAGUCCUCAAAGAUCAGCUGAAAUUGCCACCAUCCCCUUCGCCCCGCUUGCAGAGGGUCUGGCCAGCCCACUGAUCACCAGGGAUUAGCCUGGGCAAAUGCAGGAGCCAGGCUAGGUCAACCAACAAGAGCCUUGGACCUGUGCUCUAAGCAGCAGGAAGGAGACUUUUCCUUUUGCUGGGGUGGCUAUGCUGGCCGACGGGAGCCUUGGUGGACAUCUCUCCACCACAUGGGGAAAGCCUGCCUGAGAACCAACCCAAAAGAUGGUUGCAGAACAGGGAGAAGGAAAGGGAUGUGUUUCUGACAUCCAGUUCAGGCCUGCAGAGCCAGCCGUACCUAAAGUUGGGCCCUCUCCAGGACUUGUUUUAGGGGCUGAUAAUCCACCUCCCUUCCUUAAACUAGUUGCACUUGGGUUUCUGUUUCUUGCAAACCAAGUAGUCCUCUGUGCUUCUUCCCAGCACUAAGACGCCCCACCCCCACCCCUCCAGGGGCUUUCCGAGAGACCCGAGACCCGGAUAUUGGGGUUGGCUGGCAAUUGCACUGCACCUGUGUCUGCCCCAACCCUCCACACCUGGGGAGGAAGCAGACACCAAGCCCCCAGUUCUGAGGCCCCAAGGAGGGCUCGGCUUUUUGAAGCGCUGCAUGCUCUGUUCAGUCCCAGGGCUGUAACGGAGAUGGCAACCCAACCCAACCCAACCCAACCCAGGGAGCCAGGGCAUCCUGGCGUGGCUGGGCCCUGUGUGUCUGGCCACUGCUCUCUGUCUCAAGUGACAGGGUGAGGUCAUCCCUUCUCCCUGUUCCAGAUCCUAAUUAGGCCUCUCUCUCCUUUUUAAUAGGGGCAGAGGGCUGCCCAACAGACAGAUUCUGGUUUAGGAGCCUAGAAAGGGUAGGCUGUGGGCUGGAGAGCGGCUGGUGCACAGCCCCGUGGACCCUUCACCCCCACCCCCAUGGUGAAUCUAGGCCUGGGUGACAACAGGGUGCCCAGAGCAGGGAUGAAGGGUCUGGGCCUGGAGGACGGAGGGCCUUGCGAAGAGCAGAUGGGGGAUAGAACGGGUGGUACCUCUGCCUGGGGAAGAGGGGGAGCAGAUCACUUGUGCCAUGCUGUCCCAUGGAGCUGAGCAGCAAUAAUAGCAGUUGUGACAUUGAUUGAGCAGUUGCUCUACGCUGAACUUUCUAUCAUUGAAUCCUUAUGACCAUUUAUGAGGUGGGUUCUACAGCCCUCACUUUACAGUCACGCUGAGGCUUUCAUAAGGUGUCCACAGUCACACAGCUAGCAGAAGGGGAGCCGGCCAGGGGGCCUCCAUGGGUCUGGAGGAAGUGGUGGAGGGGAGGGGGGAGGACAGAUGUGGGAGGCAGGCAGAAGGAGGCAUCAGCAGGAGCAGAGGGAGGCUGGGGGCCGUCCAGGAGGAAGAGGUGACAGGACUUGAGAGGCUUUGUUGGAAGGGAGGACAGCUGGGUGACAGGAUCAGCAGGGCCUGGAGAGGGAGGCUUGUGUACAGGCUGGUGAAGCUCCUGGGAUGGGGAAUGGAGAGGGCGGGGAAUCUCCCUCACUCUGUGUGGAAAUGAGAACAGGGAGAAACUGAGGAGUCCUCAGGGAAGAGCUUCUCCAGGAGGGCUUGCACAGGAUACGGGGAGAGGGCGAGGGGGAGACGGCAGGGACUAAGGUGGAGGCACUGGAAGGGCUGAUGGGGCAGGAGGGAGGGGAG